GGUUAAGCGACUAAGCGUACACGGUGGAUGCCCUGGCAGUCAGAGGCGAUGAAGGACGUGCUAAUCUGCGAAAAGCGCCGGCGAGGUGAUAUGAACCCUUGACCCGGCGAUGUCCGAAUGGGGAAACCCAGUGUGAUUCGUCACACUAUCGUUAACUGAAUACAUAGGUUAACGAGGCGAACCGGGGGAACUGAAACAUCUAAGUACCCCGAGGAAAAGAAAUCAACCGAGAUUCCCCCAGUAGCGGCGAGCGAACGGGGAGCAGCCCGGAGUCUGAAUCAGCUUGUGUGUUAGUGGAACGGUCUGGAAAGUCCGACGGUACAGGGUGAUAGUCCCGUACACGAAAGCACACUUGCUGUGAACUCGAAGAGUAGGGCGGGACACGUGGUAUCCUGUCUGAAUAUGGGGGGACCAUCCUCCAAGGCUAAAUACUCCUGACUGACCGAUAGUGAACCAGUACCGUGAGGGAAAGGCGAAAAGAACCCCGGCGAGGGGAGUGAAAAAGAACCUGAAACCGUGUACGUACAAGCAGUGGGAGCCUCUUUAUGGGGUGACUGCGUACCUUUUGUAUAAUGGGUCAGCGACUUAUAUUCUGUAGCAAGGUUAACCGUAUAGGGGAGCCGAAGGGAAACCGAGUCUUAACUGGGCGUUAAGUUGCAGGGUAUAGACCCGAAACCCGGUGAUCUAGCCAUGGGCAGGUUGAAGGUUGGGUAACACUAACUGGAGGACCGAACCGACUAAUGUUGAAAAAUUAGCGGAUGACCUGUGGCUGGGGGUGAAAGGCCAAUCAAACCGGGAGAUAGCUGGUUCUCCCCGAAAGCUAUUUAGGUAGCGCCUCGUGAAUUCAUCUUCGGGGGUAGAGCACUGUUUCGGCUAGGGGGCCAUCCCGGCUUACCAACCCGAUGCAAACUACGAAUACCGAAGAAUGUUAUCACGGGAGACACACGGCGGGUGCUAACGUCCGUCGUGAAGAGGGAAACAACCCAGACCGCCAGCUAAGGUCCCAAAGUCAUGGUUAAGUGGGAAACGAUGUGGGAAGGCACAGACAGCCAGGAUGUUGGCUUAGAAGCAGCCAUCAUUUAAAGAAAGCGUAAUAGCUCACUGGUCGAGUCGGCCUGCGCGGAAGAUGUAACGGGGCUAAACCAUGCACCGAAGCUGCGGCAGCGACACUAUGUGUUGUUGGGUAGGGGAGCGUUCUGUAAGCCGUUGAAGGUGUGCUGUGAGGCAUGCUGGAGGUAUCAGAAGUGCGAAUGCUGACAUAAGUAACGAUAAAGCGGGUGAAAAGCCCGCUCGCCGGAAGACCAAGGGUUCCUGUCCAACGUUAAUCGGGGCAGGGUGAGUCGACCCCUAAGGCGAGGCCGAAAGGCGUAGUCGAUGGGAAACAGGUUAAUAUUCCUGUACUUGGUGUUACUGCGAAGGGGGGACGGAGAAGGCUAUGUCAGCCGGGCGACGGUUGUCCCGGUUUAAGCAUGUAGGCGGAGGUUCCAGGUAAAUCCGGUACCUUGUUAACGCUGAGGUGUGAUGACGAGGCACUACGGUGCUGAAGUGAUAAAUGCCCUGCUUCCAGGAAAAGCCUCUAAGCAUCAGGUAACACGAAAUCGUACCCCAAACCGACACAGGUGGUCAGGUAGAGAAUACCAAGGCGCUUGAGAGAACUCGGGUGAAGGAACUAGGCAAAAUGGUGCCGUAACUUCGGGAGAAGGCACGCUGAUAUGUAGGUGAAGCCCCUGCGGGCGGAGCUGAAAUCAGUCGAAGAUACCAGCUGGCUGCAACUGUUUAUUAAAAACACAGCACUGUGCAAACACGAAAGUGGACGUAUACGGUGUGACGCCUGCCCGGUGCCGGAAGGUUAAUUGAUGGGGUUAGCGGCAACGCGAAGCUCUUGAUCGAAGCCCCGGUAAACGGCGGCCGUAACUAUAACGGUCCUAAGGUAGCGAAAUUCCUUGUCGGGUAAGUUCCGACCUGCACGAAUGGCGUAAUGAUGGCCAGGCUGUCUCCACCCGAGACUCAGUGAAAUUGAACUCGCUGUGAAGAUGCAGUGUACCCGCGGCAAGACGGAAAGACCCCGUGAACCUUUACUAUAGCUUGACACUGAACACUGGUCCUUGAUGUGUAGGAUAGGUGGGAGGCUUUGAAGCGUGGACGCCAGUCUGCGUGGAGCCAACCUUGAAAUACCACCCUUUAAUGGCUGGUGUUCUAACGUAGACCCGUAAUCCGGGUUGCGGACAGUGUCUGGUGGGUAGUUUGACUGGGGCGGUCUCCUCCCAAAGAGUAACGGAGGAGCACGAAGGUUGGCUAAUCCUGGUCGGACAUCAGGAGGUUAGUGCAAUGGCAUAAGCCAGCUUGACUGCGAGCGUGACGGCGCGAGCAGGUGCGAAAGCAGGUCAUAGUGAUCCGGUGGUUCUGAAUGGAAGGGCCAUCGCUCAACGGAUAAAAGGUACUCCGGGGAUAACAGGCUGAUACCGCCCAAGAGUUCAUAUCGACGGCGGUGUUUGGCACCUCGAUGUCGGCUCAUCACAUCCUGGGGCUGAAGUAGGUCCCAAGGGUAUGGCUGUUCGCCAUUUAAAGUGGUACGCGAGCUGGGUUUAGAACGUCGUGAGACAGUUCGGUCCCUAUCUGCCGUGGGCGCUGGAGAAUUGAGGGGGGCUGCUCCUAGUACGAGAGGACCGGAGUGGACGCAUCACUGGUGUUCGGGUUGUCAUGCCAAUGGCACUGCCCGGUAGCUAAAUGCGGAAGAGAUAAGUGCUGAAAGCAUCUAAGCACGAAACUUGCCCCGAGAUGAGUUCUCCCUGAGACUUUAAGUCUCCUGAAGGAACGUUGAAGACGACGACGUUGAUAGGUCGGGUGUGUAAGCGCAGCGAUGCGUUGAGCUAACCGAUACUAAUGAACCGUGAGGCUUAACCUU
rnacentral:rRNA from 1 species